rnacentral:rRNA from 1 species
UACGUAGGGGGCGAGCGUUGUCCGGAUUUAUUGGGCGUAAAGAGCGUGUAGGCGGCUAGAUAGGUCCGUUGUGAAAACUCGAGGCUCAACCUCGGCAGGUCGUUGGAAACCAUAUGGCUAGAGUCCGGAAGAGGAGAGUGGAAUUCCUGGUGUAGCGGUGAAAUGCGCAGAUAUCAGGAAGAACACCAAUGGCGAAGGCAGCUCUCUGGGACGGUACUGACGCUGAGACGCGAAAGCGUGGGGAGCGAACAGG